UACGUAGGGGGCUAGCGUUGUCCGGAUUUACUGGGCGUAAAGGGCGCGUAGGCGGUCAGCACAAGUCAGUUGUGAAAUCUCCGGGCUUAACUCGGAAAGGUCAACUGAUACUGUGCGACUAGAGUGCGGAAGGGGCAACUGGAAUUCUCGGUGUAGCGGUGAAAUGCGUAGAUAUCGAGAGGAACACCUGCGGCGAAGGCGGGUUGCUGGGCCGACACUGACGCUGAUGCGCGAAAGCCAGGGGAGCGAACGGG
rnacentral:rRNA from 1 species